AUAAUGACUAUGUCUUCCGCUAAGCAGCUUUCGACCUCUGGUCCCUUGAACACAUAUCGUCUUUCAACCUUUGAGCUUGCAAAUCGAUAGCCCCGCUUGCAUUUUUUGGUUUUUCUGGUUGGUUCAUGGCUUCUCCAUUUAUCGGGUUCCAUAGUUUUUUCUGUUUGAUUUCUUUCUUCAGCUCAUCCAUCAGCAACUUUUGCACUCUGUAUACUUGGUGGAGCUCCUCAACCUGCAUUUUUAUCGAGUCAGAAGGUAGUAGCUGCCUUAACCUUCAUUUUGACUAAACAUUGUUGAAGUUAUAGAAAAUGGACUUCACCAGCUAGAACUGAUUGGACAUUGUUGAAGCAGUUAUGGAAGAUGGACCUUCACCUAAUAAGAAGAAGAAAGAAGAGCAAUUUAGACGUUAGUAGAGUCAUAACACAGGUGUAACGCAAUAUUUUUAAUAUAGGAGGGACCGAUUAAAGAGUGACAGAUGUAUUUUGCAUCUUGAUGUAUAUACACACUGAUUUUAAUAAAGUUAUUUCAUUUUACAGAUA